UUGCUGUUAACUUUUUUUGAUGGUUAAAUAAAUUUAUGGAUAAACACUAGAGCCUACAAAAAGUAUAAGGAGAAUAGAUACACUAGAAGUGUAGAGUCAAAAAAAUACAAAAAAAAACAAAAACAACCAACAACAACGAAGAAGAAAAAAAUACAUCACAGAAAACUACAACAUAAACAACCAACAAAAAAACUAAAAGAGAGAAAACCACAACAACCCCGCAGCAGAACGUCACCCCAAUAUGACCAAGCUAGAUCUCAG
rnacentral:lncRNA from 1 species